ensembl:misc_RNA Metazoa_SRP Metazoan signal recognition particle RNA
GCUGGGCGUGGGGUGCACGCCUGUAAUCCCAGCUACUCAGGAGGCUGAGGCAGAAGAAUCGCUUGAACCCAGGAGGUGGAGGUUGCAGUGAGCUGAGACUGUGCCACUGCACUCCAGCCUGGGUGACAGAGUGAGACUCUGUCUCAA